GCCUUCAUGGUGUAGUGGUCAGCACGCCCGGUAGCUGAGAGGUCCGUGGUUCGAUUCCUGGCGAAGGCG
rnacentral:tRNA from 1 species